UACGGGGGGGGUAAGCGUUGUUCGGAAUUACUGGGCGUAAAGGGCUCGUAGGCGGCCAACUAAGUCAGACGUGAAAUCCCUCAGCUUAACUGGGGAACUGCGUCUGAUACUGGAUGGCUUGGAUCCGGGAGAGGGAUGCGGAAUUCCAGGUGUAGCGGUGAAAUGCGUAGAUAUCUGGAGGAACACCGGUGGCGAAGGCGGCACUCUGGGCUGGAACUGACGCUGAGGAGCGAAAGCGUGGGUAGCAAACAGG
rnacentral:rRNA from 1 species